rnacentral:rRNA from 1 species
GGUGAGUUCGGUGACUGGGACUAAGUCGUAACAAGGUAGCCGUAGGUGAACCUGCAGAAGGAUCA